rnacentral:rRNA from 1 species
UGGGUAACCUGCCCUUAACUCUGGGAUAAGCCUGGGAAACUGGGUCUAAUACCGGAUAUGACUCCUCAUCGCAUGGUGGGGGGUGGAAAGCUUUUUGUGGUUUUGGAUGGACUCGCGGCCUAUCAGCUUGUUGGUGAGGUAAUGGCUCACCAAGGCGACGACGGGUAGCCGGCCUGAGAGGGUGACCGGCCACACUGGGACUGAGACACGGCCCAGACUCCUACGGGAGGCAG